CUGGGCUGGGAGGAGUGCAGAGUAUAUGGAUAUUUUGCCCCCAGAAGAUUGGACGAUGACUGCCUGCAUUGAUGAGACUGCCUAGUUGCAGGAAAACAAGCUCAGGACUCCAACUUAUUCUAUGUUAUGUUGAUUAGGUUUCUCCUCGUAGUGAGAGACAUGGGCACCAGUAACUACCAGAGACACAAAACCUCACAGCUGAACCUCAGGAAUUGCUCCUUGGCCCUCCUUUCUCUCUUAUCAGCGUGUAGCUAGAUGCAUUCUGACAAGGUACAAAAACAAGGCAUCAGCCCAGUCACCUUUCACUGUUCUUUGUCUGCUGCAUCUUUUGGAUAGCUUAUCAGAGGACAGACUUGGCUGAAAUUUGACCUGAAGGAGAUAACAGCAAUAUUUACCACUUAUGUCACAAUCAUUGCUAAUAUGGAU
rnacentral:lncRNA from 1 species